AUCCAGCUGAAGAGUUUUAAAUAGGACGAAACGUGCGUCCUGGAU
rfam:Schistosoma curassoni strain Dakar, Senegal genome assembly, scaffold: SCTD_scaffold0006702